ensembl:snoRNA small nucleolar RNA SNORD86
GAUCGCAGUGAUGGCUGGCCAGGCCCCUGUCCUACAUAGGCCUCUGCUCUGGGGAUGAUGGCCAGUCCUGGUGUCUGAGUGAUU